rnacentral:lncRNA from 1 species
AUGCUCAGUUCAGGGUUGGAGCCCUAAUGCUGGCUAAAUGGAAGAAUGCUCAGUUUAGGGUUGGAGCCCUAAUGCUGGCUAAUAGAAAAAUGCUCAGUUUAGGGUUGGAGCCCUAAUGUUGGCUAAUAGGAAAAUGCUCAGUUCAGGGUUGGAGCCCUAAUGCUGGCUAACAGAAAAUGCUCAGUUCAGGGUGGAGCCCUAAUGCUGGCUAACAGGAAAAUGCUCAGUUCAAGGUUGGAGCCCUAAUGCUGGCUAGAUGGAAAAUGCUCAGUUCAGGGUUGGAGCCCUAAUGCUGGCUAACAGAAAAAAUGCUCAGUUCAGGGUUGGAGCCCUAAUGCUGGCUAAAUGGAAAAUGCUCAGUUCAGGGUUGGAACCCUAAUGCUGGCUAACAGAAAA